rnacentral:rRNA from 1 species
AUUGAACGCUGGCGGCAGGCCUAACACAUGCAAGUCGAGCGGAGCGGCGGACGGGGGAGUAAUGCCAAGGAAUCUGCCAGGUAGUGGGGGAUAACGUCCGGAAACGGGAGCGAAAACUGCAAACUCUCAGAUGAGCCUAUGUCGGAUUAGCUAGUGGGUGGGGUAAAGGCCUACCAAGGCGACGAUCCGUAACUGGUCUGAGAGGAUGAGCAGUCACACUGGAACUGAGACACGGUCCAGACUCCUACGGGAGGCAGCAGUGGGGAAUAUUGGACAAUGGGCGAAAGCCUGAUGCAGCCAUGCCGCGUGUGUGAAGAAGGUCUUCGGAUUGUAAAGCACUUUAAGCUGGGAGGCGUUACCAACAGAAUAAGCACCGGCUAACUUCGUGCCAGCCGCCGCGGUAAUUC